GAUCGUAAAACUCUGUUGUUAGAGAAGAACAAGGAUGAGAGUAGAAUGUUCAUCCCUUGACCGGUAUCUAAACCAGAAAAGCCACGGCCUAACUACGUGCCAGCAGCCGCGGUAAUACGUAGGUGGCAAGCGUUGUCCGGAUUUAUUGGGCGUAAAGCGAGCGCAGGCGGUUUCUUAAGUCUGAUGUGAAAGCCCCCCGGGCUCAACCGGGGAGGGUCAUUGGAAACUGGGAAACUUGAGUGCAGAAGAGGAGAGUGGAAUUCCAUGUGUAGCGGUGAAAUGCGUAGAUAUAUGGAGGAACACCAGUGGCGAAGGCGGCUCUCUGGUCUGUAACUGACGCUGAGGCUCGAAAGCGUGGGGAGCAAACAGGAUUAGAUACCCUGGUAGUCCACGCCGUAAACGAUGAGUGCUAAGUGUUGGAGGGUUUCCGCCCUUCAGUGCUGCAGCUAACGCAUUAAGCACUCCGCCUGGGGGAGUACGACCGCAAAGGUUGAAACUCAAAGGAAUUGACGGGGGCCCGCACAAGCGGUGGGAGCAUGUGGUUUAAUUCGAAGCAACGCGAAGAACC
rnacentral:rRNA from 1 species